CCCCAAUACACCAUGGAUGGGUAACAUACACAGUAUACCCCAAUACACCAUGGAUGGGUACAUGCACUGUAUACCCCCAAUUACACCAUGGAUGUGUACAUGCACAGUGUACCCCAAUACACCAUGGAUGUAUACAUGCACAGUAUACCCCGAUUACACCAUGAAUGGGUACAUGCACUGUAUACCCCAAUACACCAUGGAUGGGUACAUACACAGUAUACCCCAAUACACCAUGGAAGGGUACAUGCACAGCAUACCCCAAU